AUUGAACGCUGGCGGCAGGCCUAACACAUGCAAGUCGAGCGGAUGAAGGGAGCUUGCUCCUGGAUUCAGCGGCGGACGGGUGAGUAAUGCCUAGGAAUCUGCCUGGUAGUGGGGGAUAACGUCCGGAAACGGGCGCUAAUACCGCAUCCGUCCUGAGGGAGAAAGAGGGGGAUCUUCGGACCUCACGCUAUCAGAUGAGCCUAGGUCGGAUUAGCUAGUUGGUGGGGUAAAGGCCUACCAAGGCGACGAUCCGUAACUGGUCUGAGAGGAUGAUCAGUCACACUGGAACUGAGACACGGUCCAGACUCCUACGGGAGGCAGCAGUGGGGAAUAUUGGACAAUGGGCGAAAGCCUGAUCCAGCCAUGCCGCGUGUGUGAAGAAGGUCUUCGGAUUGUAAAGCACUUUAAGUUGGGAGGAAGGGCAGUAAGUUAAUACCUUGCUGUUUUGACGUUACCAACAGAAUAAGCACCGGCUAACUUCGUG
rnacentral:rRNA from 1 species